UAACCUGCCCAAGAGAUCGGGAUAACACCUGGAAACAGAUGCUAAUACCGGAUAAUAACAGAUGAUGCCUAUCAACUGUUUAAAAGAUGGUUCUGCUAUCACUCUUGGAUGGACCUGCGGUGCAUUAGCUAGUUGGUAGGGUAACGGCCUACCAAGGCGAUGAUGCAUAGCCGAGUUGAGANACUGAUCGGCCACAUUGGGACUGAGACACGGCCCAAACUCCUACGGGAGGCAGCCAGA
rnacentral:rRNA from 1 species